AUUGAACGCUUGCGUCAGGCCUAACACAUGCAAGUCGAACGAGUGGCGCACGGGUGAGUAAUGUCUGGGCAACUGCCCGAUUGAGGGGGACCACCACUGGAAACGGUAGCUAAUACCGCAUACCAUCGGAUGUGCCCAGGGGGGAAUGGCUAGUGGGUGGGGGAGAGGCUAACCUAGGCGACGAUCCCUAGCCGGUCUGAGAGGAUGACCAGCCACACUGGAACUGGGACACGGUCCAGACUCCUACGUGAGGCAGCAGUGGGGAAUAUUGCACAAUGGGCGCAAGCCUGAUGCAGCCAUGCCGCGGGUAUGAAGAAGGCCUUCGGGUUGUAAAGUACUUUCAGCGGGGAGGCGUUACCCGCAGAAGAAGCACCGGCUAACUCCGUGCCAGCAGCCGCGGUAAUUC
rnacentral:rRNA from 1 species